rnacentral:rRNA from 1 species
GACGAACCGUGCGAACGUUAUUCGGAAUCACUGGGCUUAAAGCGCGUGUAGGCGGGUUCGUACGUCCGUCGCUGAAAUCCCCGGCUCAACCGGGGAACGGGCGUGGAUACGGCGGACCUGGAGGGGCGUAGGGGGACCUGGAACUUCCGGUGGAGCGGUGAAAUGCGUUGAGAUCGGAAGGAACGCCCGUGGCGAAGCGAGGUCCUGGACGCCUACUGACGCUGAGGAGCGAAAGCGUGGGGAGCGAACGAGG